AUUCUUGGUCAUUUUAGAGGAAGUAAAAGUCGUAACAAGGUUUCCGUAGGUGAACCUGCGGAAGGAUCAUUACAAGUGACCCCGGUCUAACCACCGGGAUGUUCAUAACCCUUUGUUGUCCGACUCUGUUGCCUCCGGGGCGACCCUGCCUUCGGGCGGGGGCUCCGGGUGGACACUUCAAACUCUUGCGUAACUUUGCAGUCUGAGUAAACUUAAUUAAUAAAUUAAAACUUUUAACAACGGAUCUCUUGGUUCUGGCAUCGAUGAAGAACGCAGCGAAAUGCGAUAAGUAAUGUGAAUUGCAGAAUUCAGUGAAUCAUCGAAUCUUUGAACGCACAUUGCGCCCCCUGGUAUUCCGGGGGGCAUGCCUGUUCGAGCGUCAUUUCACCACUCAAGCCUCGCUUGGUAUUGGGCAACGCGGUCCGCCGCGUGCCUCAAAUCGACCGGCUGGGUCUUUUGUCCCCUAAGCGUUGUGGAAACUAUUCGCUAAAGGGUGCUCGGGAGGCUACGCCGUAAAACAAACCCAUUGCUAAGGUUGACCUCAAAUCAGGUAGGACUACCCGCUGAACUUAAGCAUAUCAAUAAGCGGAGGAAAAGAAACUAACAAGGAUUCCCCUAGUAACUGCGAGUGAAGCGGGAAAAGCUCAAAUUUAAAAUCUGGCAGCCUUUGGCUGUCCGAGUUGUAAUCUAGAGAAGUGCCAUCCGCGCUGGACCGUGUACAAGUCUCCUGAAUC
rnacentral:rRNA from 1 species